rnacentral:tRNA from 1 species
AUUACUUUGGCAGAAUAGUGCUUUAAAUUUAGAAUUUAAUUAUGUAUAAUUUAUACAGGUAAUA